rnacentral:rRNA from 1 species
CAGCAGCCACGGUAAUACGGGGGGGGCAAGUGUUAUUCGGAAUGACUGGGCGUAAAGGGCACGUAGGCGGUGAAAAGGGUGGAAAGUGAAAGUCGCCAAAACACUGGCGGGGUGCUUUCUUGACCAUUUCACUUGAGUGAGAUAGGGGAGAGUGGAAUUUCGUGUGGAGGGAUCAAAUCCUAAGAUAUACGAAGGAACGCCAACCGCGAAGGCAGCUCUCUGGGUCCCCACUGACGCUGGGGUGCGAAAGCAUGGGGAGCAAACAGGAUCAGAUACCCCAGUAGUCCCUGUCUCUUAUACA